UACGAAGGGGGCUAGCGUUGCUCGGAAUCACUGGCGUAAAGCGCACGUAGGCGGAUUGCUAAGUCAGGGGUGAAAUCCUGGAGCUCAACUCCAGAACUGCCUUUGAUACUGAAGAUCUUGAGUUCGGGAGAGGUGAGUGGAACUGCGAGUGUAGAGGUGAAAUUCGUAGAUAUUCGCCAAGAACACCAGUGGCGAAGGCGGCUCACUGGCCCGAUACUGACGCUGAGGCACGAAAGCGUGGGGAGCAAACAGG
rnacentral:rRNA from 1 species